GGAGGUAUGGCUGAGCGGCUUAAGGCAUUGGUUUGUCUGCUAAAUCAACAUACAGGACAUUGUAUCAUGGGUUCGAAUCCCAUUUCCUCCU
rnacentral:tRNA from 1 species